AUGUUGGAUCGGAUGGGUCGCGUAACCUUUCCCGAUUGCAACACCAACACGUUGUGUGUUACCAUCAGGUAAGUUUCUAUGCUGUCCUUUUUCACAAUAUAUAAGAGGUAGUAAAAUGGGCAGGACUAACAAGGCCAGAAGGUGCAACUUUUUGUUACAGGUCAGGUCUAAACGAACGCUUUUUAUGUGUGAAUUUAUUAAAUUUCUUUGCAAAUAAUUACUAUUUGGCACAUUUCGUUUUAAGUUAUAUUUUUACGUGUUUGGCCCGUUUGAGAUGAAACAUAGCUUGAAUUUACACUUCCAUAAGUGAAUGGGUCAAAGUUAGAAGACUGUUAUAUACUACAUCAAGUAGAAUGCCAUGUAAAAUAUGAUCAUGUCACUAGCUUUUGAAGGUGACUCAUAUGUAUUUUUCUAAAAUAAUCCAGGCAUGGUUUGCAACAGGAGAUGCAGGUUGUAAUGGUGAUGCCACAUGGGGUUCAAGGUCGGUGGUCAUCACAGCCACGUAGACUUUGUAUUCAAAAGACGAAAUUUAAAUAUAUACAUGGAUGGAUGCUACACUUCAUGAGCUAACUAAUCUGGUCUCAAUCCAAAUCAGCAGUUACGUAGGGUUGGGAACUAGCUCUACUCGAUUGUCCACUUAAUAUAGAUUAUCUUUGUUUUGUUUGUUACGAUGUCAACGUAACCCGUCCACUAGACGGAUAUUAAACUAGUUUAGUGUGUUAGAUUUAUAUAUUAUU
rnacentral:lncRNA from 1 species